GCCAGGUGUGGUGGCUCAUGCCUGUAAUCCCAGAACUUUGGGAGGCUGAAGCAGGAGGAUCGCUUGAGCCCAGGAGUUCGAGACCAGCCUGGGCAACAUGGCGAUAUCCUGUCUCUA
ensembl:misc_RNA Metazoa_SRP Metazoan signal recognition particle RNA